UAAAAGACGAGAAGACCCUAUAAAUCUUUAUAGUAAGUUUAUUUUAAUAGAUUAUUUUAUAUAAAUUAAGUUUUAAUAUUUAGCUAUUUUAUUGGGGUGAUAUAAAAAUUUAAUUAACUUUUUUAAUAAAAUUACUUAAAUUAAAGAUUUUAAAAUUAUGAUCUAUUAUUAAUAAUUCAAAGAAUAAGAUACUUUAGGGAUAACAGCGUAAUUUUAAUUUUAAGUUCUUAUUAAAAUUAAAGAUUGCGACCUCGAUGUUGGAUUAAAAUUUAAUUUAAAUGCAAAGGUUUAAAAAUUAAGUCUGUUCGACUUUUAAAAUUUUACAUGAUCUGAGUUCAAACCGGUGUGAGCCAGGUUGGUUUCUAUCUUUAAUAAAAAAGAAUUUUUUAGUACGAAAGGAUCGAGAAUUUUAAAUGAAUUUAUAAAUUUAUGAAAAAAAUUAAUUUAAGGUUAAUUCGAUUAAUUAAA
rnacentral:rRNA from 1 species